UUAUUUAAGGGUUAACAGCCAAGAGAAGCUCUAUCCCUGGAAACAGAUCUUUGAGCUCCCACAUACUUAUUUCCUGUGACAGAUAUCUACAGUAAUCUACAGAAAGAAUCGUUAUGUAUUGGAACAAGGUGCCCAGGGAAGCGGUAGAAUCACUGUCCUGGAAGUGUUCAAGAAAUACACAGAUGUGGUCUUUUGCCUCUGCCUGUUGAAAGUAAAAAUUGGGAUUUGGGAAUGGGAUCGUUUAAAAACUCAAGGAUUCAAAAUGGAAAACACUGAUACGAAAAGGCAUGAAAUCCUACAGAGAAAUAGAAGAAGAAACCAUCUGUUCGUCAGGUUAAACCAUUAAUGCCAUCGGCAUUGGUGGAGCCAAUGAAGUUGGCAAUUCCAGAUGUGGUGAGGAUCAGUCCCAGGGAAUCUUGGAAACUGCUCCUUCCCCUCCUGCCUACCUGGCAACGGCUCUGGGUGCCUUGUCAGGCAGGGAUGAUGCCUGCACUAAGGCUUUGCAUAAUGGUUUGAUGAAACUUUUUGUGUGAUCUGAUCAAUAAUUGUUUUAUACUUUUUGAAUGCAUAUAACUUGUCUAAACUUAUGCCUUACUAAAUAUACCUGAAGAAGCUGACCCCAGAGAUGAUCUGUAACACCUUCAGUGGUCUCCUUCAUCAAAUUAACCUUUUACUCAGCAGGGCUAAGUAAGCCAGGGCACUGAGAAUGUCUACUUACUUUCUUCAGGUAGGCUUCUGAGGCUUUCCUUAGCAACAUGUAACUGCACUCAGAAUAGGUUAACCCAGACUGUAACCUGUACUCAGACUAUGUGACUUCAAAACUAGCCUAAGCAUUUCUAAAUGAACAGGAGAUCUGAAUUAACAGAGAUAUACACAGACCUACGUAAAUAAACAGCCUGUAACAAACAAAGCAGAAUUUAUUUAGAACAUUUAUUCAGUAAAUUGUCUGUAUU
ensembl:lncRNA